rnacentral:rRNA from 1 species
AUUGAACGCUGGCGGCAUGCCUUACACAUGCAAGUCGAACGGCAGCACGGACUUCGGUCUGGUGGCGAGUGGCGAACGGGUGAGUAAUGUAUCGGAACGUACCUUUCAGUGGGGAUAACGUAGCGAAAGUUACGCUAAUACCGCAUAUUCUGUGAGCAGGAAAGCAGGGGAUCGCAAGACCUUGCGCUGAUUGAGCGGCCGAUAUCAGAUUAGCUAGUUGGUGAGGUAAAGGCUCACCAAGGCGACGAUCUGUAGCGGGUCUGAGAGGAUGAUCCGCCACACUGGAACUGAGACACGGUCCAGACUCCUACGGGAGGCAGCAGUGGGAAUUUUGGACAAUGGGGGCAACCCUGAUCCAGCCAUGCCGCGUGAGUGAAGAAGGCC